AGAUCGAACUAAAGAGUUUGAUCCUGGCUCAGAUUGAACGCUGGCGGCAUGCUUUACACAUGCAAGUCGAACGGUAACAGGCCUUCGGGCGCUGACGAGUGGCGAACGGGUGAGUAAUGCAUCGGAACGUGCCCAGUCGUGGGGGAUAACGCAGCGAAAGCUGCGCUAAUACCGCAUACGAUCUGUGGAUGAAAGCGGGGGACCUUCGGGCCUCGCGCGAUUGGAGCGGCCGAUGUCAGAUUAGGUAGUUGGUGGGGUAAAGGCUCACCAAGCCGACGAUCUGUAGCUGGUCUGAGAGGACGACCAGCCACACUGGGACUGAGACACGGCCCAGACUCCUACGGGAGGCAGCAGUGGGGAAUUUUGGACAAUGGGGGCAACCCUGAUCCAGCAAUGCCGCGUGCAGGAAGAAGGCCUUCGGGUUGUAAACUGCUUUUGUACGGAACGAAAAGGCUCUGGUUAAUACCUGGGGCACAUGACGGUACCGUAAGAAUAAGCACCGGCUAACUACGUGCCAGCAGCCGCGGUAAUACGUAGGGUGCAAGCGUUAAUCGGAAUUACUGGGCGUAAAGCGUGCGCAGGCGGUGCUGUAAGACAGGCGUGAAAUCCCCGGGCUUAACCUGGGAAUGGCGCUUGUGACUGCAGUGCUGGAGUGUGGCAGAGGGGGAUGGAAUUCCGCGUGUAGCAGUGAAAUGCGUAGAUAUGCGGAGGAACACCGAUGGCGAAGGCAAUCCCCUGGGCCUGCACUGACGCUCAUGCACGAAAGC
rnacentral:rRNA from 1 species